rfam:Felis catus isolate Cinnamon breed Abyssinian chromosome B4, whole genome shotgun sequence.
GCCUGGGUGGCUCAUUCGGUUAAGCGUCUGACUCAGGCUCAGAUCAUGAUCUUACAGUUGGUGAGUUCGAGCCCCACAUCAGGCU